UACGUAGGGGGCAAGCGUUGUCCGGAAUCAUUGGGCGUAAAGAGCGUGUAGGCGGCUUGGUAAGUCCGCUGUGAAAGUCCAGGGCUCAACCCUGGAAAGCCGGUGGAAACUGUCAAGCUUGAGUCCGGAAGAGGCGAGUGGAAUUCCUGGUGUAGCGGUGAAAUGCGCAGAUAUCAGGAGGAACACCAAUGGCGAAGGCAGAUCUCUGGGCCGUAACUGACGCUGAGGAGCGAAAGCGUGGGGAGCAAACAGG
rnacentral:rRNA from 1 species